GUUAACUGUCGUAUAGGCAGCUAAGAAG
rnacentral:other from 1 species